AUCAUACCGGAACAACAGGAUCAAAUGGGAAUCCUCUCAAAGGGAAUUCAAACAGUGGGAUUAGUGGAAACAUGCUCUGACCUGCCUCCACUCCCCUCUUGGUCUUCCACAAUCGACGGCCUCAAGAACAGCAGCUGAAAUUGGAAGAAAAGGUCUGGUCAGAUCGGAUAAAAUGUUUCAGAGUACACAAUUAAACAUUUCAUUGUAUCUAGUAUUUGGGGAAAAGCAUAUGGAAAACAUUUCAUUAACACAGAACCUUUGAGAAAAUAUGUUAAUCAUCAGGUGGAUCAGGUGAACGCCUGAUCCACCCACAGCAGGGCACAAAAUCGGCCCAGGGGUUUGCGUUGGAGUUUGGUACUCUGGCAGCCGACUCUGGUGGAACGAGCGGGCCCUCAUCAACCAUUUCCGGUGCAGCCUACAAGAGGACGUCAGAAGGGAGGCAGCCUGUCGAGAUGCUCCUUUGAAUCUUGAUUGGCUGGUAGACAUGACCAUUCGUCUUGACUACCUUCUGAUGGCUCGGGGCUGCAGGUUUGCAGGGGGCAGAGAGGGAGCCCAGCAGGCGACAGGAGCGAAGCAAGGCCACUAUGCAGCGUAUUGUAACCUGCGCCUCUCUGGGCUUGGCGGAGGGCACUCUUGCAUCACCCCAGUGGAGGUGAAUGCUUCUGAGGCCGGGGUGAGAGCUGCACUAUCCCAACGCCACCUUAGCUCCACCCCUGUGCCAUCGUCUUGAAGAAGCUGAUCCCUGCAGAGCAGAUCGGGAGCUGCUUGCCACUGUUAAAGACCGGGCAGCAUUGAGGCACUGGCUGGAGGGGCCUAAACACACCUUCCUCGUCUGGACAGACCUCCGAAACCUGGAGUACACCAGGGAAGCCCAGAGACUGAACCCUCGCCAGGGCAGGUGGGCCUUGUUCUUUGGCAGGUUUAAUUUCAUUUUAUUGUACAUUCCUGGAAGCAAGACUGUGAGAGCAGAUGCCUUAUCACACCUGUAAGACAUGGAGGAAAUGCUAGUGGAUGACAGCCCCAUCCUACUUGACUUGACAUAGUGGCACCGGGGGUAUGGGAGCUGGACGACGAGACCCUGCAGAGGCACUUUUUACCCAUGUAUUCUGGCAUGGAAUUUCGGAGGACAUAGUGUCUGACCGUGGGCACCAGCUCACCUCCAUAGUUCGGAAGGCAUUAAGGUAACGUUUGGGGAUCGCGUUCAGUCUGACCUCCGGGUCCCAUCCCCAAUUCAACGGGCAGGUGGAUCAAGUAGGUUUUCUGCAGGCCCUGGCGCCAUGGCAUCCGAGCCUGACCAAGGUCCCUGCGGUGGGAGACUGAGCUGGUGUACUCUGUCCAUGCCAUCCUGGACUCGAGACGCAGGGCUGGGGGUCUCCAGUACCACAUGGAGUGGGAGGGGUAUGGCCCAGAGGAGCGGUGCUGGGUUACGGAGCAG
ensembl:lncRNA